GUUAGGGCACGACACCGGAGAGGGAGCCUGAGAACGGCUACCACAUCCAAGGAUGGCAGCAGGCGCGCAAAUUACCCAAUCCCGACACGGGGAGGUAGUGACAAUAAAUAACAAUACGGGGUUCUUAUGGAUCUCGUAAUUGGAAUGAGUACAAUUUAAAUCUCUUAACGAGGAACAAUUGGAGGGCAAGUCUGGUGCCAGCAGCCGCGGUAAUUCCAGCUCCAAUAGCGUAUAUUAAAGUUGUUGCAGUUAAAAAGCUCGUAGUUGAAUUUCGGGGUCAGUAGGUUGGUCAUGCCACUGGUAUGUACUGGUCUCACUGAUUCCUCCUUCCUGAUGAACUGUAAUGCCAUUAAUUUGGUGUUGCAGGGAAUCUGGACUGUUACUUUGAAAAAAUUAGAGUGUUUAAAGCAGGCUAACGCCUGAAUACAUUAGCAUGGAAUAAUGAAAUAGGACGUUCGAUCCUAUUUUGUUGGUUUCUAGGAUUGACGUAAUGAUUAAUAGGGAUAGUUGGGGGCAUUAGUAUUCAAUUGUCAGAGGUGAAAUUCUUGGAUUUAUUGAAGACUAACUACUGCGAGAGCAUUUGCCAAGGAUGUUUUCAUUAAUCAAGAACGAAAGUUAGGGGAUCGAAGACGAUCAGAUACCGUCGUAGUCUUAACCAUAAACUAUGCCGACUAGGGAUCGGAUGAUGUUAAUUUUUUAAUGACUCANUCGGCGCCNUACGGGAAA
rnacentral:rRNA from 1 species